rnacentral:rRNA from 1 species
AGGGCACCACCAGGAGUGGAGCCUGCGGCCUAAUUUGACUCAACACGGGAAAACUCACCCGGCCCGGACACUGGAAGGAUUGACAGAUUGAGAGCUCUUUCUUGAUUCAGUGGGUGGUGGUGCAUGGCCGUUCUUAGUUGGUGGAGUGAUUUGUCUGGUUAAUUCCGAUAACGAACGAGACUCUAGCCUACUAAAUAGAUCGUCGGCUUACAAACGCCGGCGAGACUUCUUAGAGGGACAGGCGGUGAUUCAACCGCACGAAACAGAGCAAUAACAGGUCUGUGAUGCCCUUAGAUGUCCGGGGCCGCACGCGCGCUACACUGAAGUGAUCAGCGUGCUUUUUCAACCUACUCUGUCAAGAGUGGGGAACCCAAUGAACCUUCUUCGUGAUUGGGAUAGGGGAUUGUAAUUAUUCCCCUUGAACGAGGAAUUCCCAGUAAGCGCGAGUCAUAAGCUCGCGUUGAUUACGUCCCUGCCCUUUGUACACACCGCCCGUCGCUACUACCGAUUGAAUGUUUU